rnacentral:rRNA from 1 species
UAAUGUCUACGGACCAAAGCAGGGGCGUCUUCGGACCGUUGCACUAUCGGAUGAACCCAUAUGGGAUUAGCUAGUAGGUGGGGUAAAGGCUCACCUAGGCGACGAUCUCUAGCUGGUCUGAGAGGAUGAUCAGCCACACUGGGGCUGAGACACGGCCCAGACUCCUACGGGAGGCAGCAUG